CCUACGGGGGGCAGCAGUGAGGAAUAUUGGUCAAUGGGCGUAAGCCUGAACCAGCCAAGUCGCGUGAGGGAUGAAGGUUCUAUGGAUCGUAAACCUCUUUUAUAAGGGAAUAAAGUGCGGGACGUGUCCCGUUUUGUAUGUACCUUAUGAAUAAGGAUCGGCUAACUCCGUGCCAGCAGCCGCGGUAAUACGGAGGAUCCGAGCGUUAUCCGGAUUUAUUGGGUUUAAAGGGAGCGUAGGCGGGCUUUUAAGUCAGCUGUGAAAGUCUGUGGCUCAACCGUAGAAUUGCAGUUGAAACUGGCAGGCUUGAGUAUAGUAGAGGCAGGCGGAAUGCGUGGUGUAGCGGUGAAAUGCUUAGAUAGCACGAAGAACCCCGAUUGCGAAGGCAGCCUGC
rnacentral:rRNA from 1 species